AAUCAACGCUGGCGGCGUGCCUCAGACAUGCAAGUCGAACGAUUAAGACUCUCUUCGGAGAGUGUAUAAAGUGGCGCACGGGUGAGUAACACGUAGGUAAUGUACCGAAGGGUGGGGAAUAACUUAGGGAAACUUAAGCUAAUACCGCAUAAUGCAGCGGCUCGACAUCGAGACAGUUGUUAAAGGAGCAAUCCGCCUUUUGAGCAGCCUGCGGCAGAUUAGCUAGUUGGUAAGGUAAUGGCUUACCAAGGCUACGAUCUGUAACCGACCUGAGAGGGUGGUCGGUCACACUGACACUGAAUAACGGGUCAGACUCCUACGGGAGGCAGCAGUCGGGAAUUUUGGGCAAUGGGCGAAAGCCUGACCCAGCAACGCCGCGUGAAGGAUGAAGUAUUUCGGUAUGUAAACUUCGUAAGAAUAGGAAGAAUAAAUGACGGUACUAUUGUAAGGUCCGGCUAACUACGUGCCAGCAGCCGCGGUAAU
rnacentral:rRNA from 1 species